AUUCUCCACAGGGGAGGAGGCCCUGUGUUAACCACCCCCACGUGGGCAUGAUUGGGGGGAGGUGCAGGGUAUCUGGAGGCCCGCCCUGACUGCCAACAGCUGACCCAUGAGCAGCCUGCAAUAGGAGCUUUCUUCUCUUUGGGGGAAGGAGAGUGACCCUGUGGACAGUUUCAGGACAUGUCACAGGUUUGACCACCUCUGUGGCUAAGGCACCUGGGUCCAAUUAUCCAGGGCCCCAUCUACCUAGAAGAAAAAACUGCAUUUGACUCUCCCAGACUGACUGCACUCUCACCAGACUCUCAUCCUCUUUCUCACAUGAACUUAAAGGAAUGCAAGUGGUAGAGGGGACCAUGGCUGUUGAAAUACACCCUCUAGGAUUUCAUCACUGUUUCAUGUGUUAAAACAGCCUUAAGUUUGAUCAUCAGCAACUUACUCCUCUGCACAGGUUGUCCUGGUAAAAGAAUGAGAUGCUUAUUUUUUUCCCAACUUCACUGAGAUGCAACUGACAUAUAGCAAUGGGAGUUCAUGGUUUCCAGUCUUACUUUUAAGUCCCUAAGCCAUUUCCAGUGUUUUAUAACUUUAUGAACCAGUCAUUCCUGAGGGAGAAAAGUUUCAGCAUCUCUGUGUUCCACAUCAGAAGGCCCCAAGUUGAGGAACGAAACUGAGUCUGCAUGCAGCCCCUGCUUCAGAUUUGGUCAAAUCAUGAUUUCCCAUCACCUAAGGAACCCAGAAGUUGUUCAAAGAUAAUUAAGGCCCGGACCUGACUAGCAGAGUUUCACAUCAGUCUGUACAGUCAUCCAAACUGGAUAAUUCAAUCAACUCUCCACUUGGAGCCUCGUAUUUGAUGAUCUCAUUGUUGUGGAAAUCUGAGAGAUGAAAAUAUAUAUUGGAGUCAAGAGAGGAGUGUUUUGCAAUACCAACCAAAAGCCUUUAAAAUGUUCUGUCGGUCCAAAAUUUCUACUCAUAGAAAUUCACCUUUAAUAAUCAGAAUUAUUAAUGAAGAUUUAUAAUAAGAUGUUUAUUCAGCUGUGGUGCAUGAUCAUAAUAAAAAUAGAAAUAACCUAAAAAUAUGACAUUAGGAGGAUGGUUGAAUAAGUAACCUCUCUUUGAAUGGCACACAGAUAUUUAAGUUGAACUUUGGAGAUGAUUUAAUGACUUGGGAAAAAUAAUCACAUUUGAAUGUUAAGUUUGAAAAGGAGGAUCACAACUUGUGUAUAUAGUAAACAUGGUUUUACAAAAUAUGAAAGUACCAAAUGUAUAGUGAAGAAACUGACCCCUAAAUUACCAAAGCAUAAGAAAAGAACACAAUAUACUAAAUAAAGG
ensembl:lncRNA